UACAGAGGUCUCAAGCGUUGUUCGGAUUCAUUGGGCGUAAAGAGCACGCAGGCGGUUUGGCAAGUCGGAUGUGAAAACCCGAAGCUCAACUUCGGGCCUGCAUCCGAAACUGUCCGACUAGAGGUAGGUAGGGGAGAUCGGAAUUCCUGGUGUAGCGGUGAAAUGCGCAGAUAUCAGGAGGAACACCGGUGGCGAAGGCGGAUCUCUGGGCCUUACCUGACGCUCAGGUGCGAAAGCUAGGGGAGCGAACAGG
rnacentral:rRNA from 1 species